rnacentral:rRNA from 1 species
UAAUACCGCAUACGAUCUACGGAUGAAAGCAGGGGACCGCAAGGCCUUGCGCGGACGGAGCGGCCGAUGGCAGAUUAGGUAGUUGGUGGGAUAAAAGCUUACCAAGCCGACGAUCUGUAGCUGGUCUGAGAGGACGACCAGCCACACUGGGACUGAGACACGGCCCAGACUCCUACGGGAGGCAGCAGUGGGGAAUUUUGGACAAUGGGCGAAAGCCUG